AUUGAACGCUGGCGGCAGGCCUAACACAUGCAAGUCGAACGGUAACAGGAAGCAGCUUGCUGCUUUGCUGACGAGUGGCGGACGGGUGAGUAAUGUCUGGGAAACUGCCCGAUGGAGGGGGAUAACUACUGGAAACGGUAGCUAAUACCGCAUAACGUCGCAAGACCAAAGAGGGGGACCUUAGGGCCUCUUGCCAUCGGAUGUGCCCAGAUGGGAUUAGCUAGUAGGUGGGGUAACGGCUCACCUAGGCGACGAUCCCUAGCUGGUCUGAGAGGAUGACCAGCCACACUGGAACUGAGACACGGUCCAGACUCCUACGGGAGGCAGCAGUGGGGAAUAUUGAACAAUGGGCGCAAGCCUGAUGCAGCCAUGCCGCGUGUAUGAAGAAGGCCUUCGGGUUGUAAAGUACUUUCAGCGGGGAGGAAGGGAGUAAAGUUAAUACCUUUGCUCAUUGACGUUACCUGCAGAAGAAGCACCGGCUAACUCCGUG
rnacentral:rRNA from 1 species